CCUACGGGAGGCAGCAGUAGGGAAUAUUGCUCAAUGGGGGAAACCCUGAAGCAGCAACGCCGCGUGGAGGAUGAAGGUUUUCGGAUUGUAAACUCCUUUUGUUAGAGAAGAUAAUGACGGUAUCUAACGAAUAAGCACCGGCUAACUCCGUGCCAGCAGCCGCGGUAAUACGGAGGGUGCAAGCGUUACUCGGAAUCACUGGGCGUAAAGAGCGCGUAGGCGGGAUAGCAAGUCAGAUGUGAAAUCCUAGGGCUUAACCAUAGAACUGCAUUUGAAACUGUUAUUCUAGAGUAUGGGAGAGGUAGGUGGAAUUCUGGGUGUAGGGGUAAAAUCCGUAGAGAUCAAGAGGAAUACUCAUUGCGAAGGCGACCUGCUAGAACAUAACUGACGCUGAUGCGCGAAAGCGUGGGGAGCAAACAGGAUUAGAUACCCCAGUAGUC
rnacentral:rRNA from 1 species